rnacentral:rRNA from 1 species
UACGUAGGGUGCAAGCGUUAUCCGGAAUUAUUGGGCGUAAAGAGCUCGUAGGCGGUUUGUCGCGUCUGCUGUGAAAACUGGGGGCUCAACCCCCAGCCUGCAGUGGGUACGGGCAGACUAGAGUGCGGUAGGGGAGAUUGGAAUUCCUGGUGUAGCGGUGAAAUGCGCAGAUAUCAGGAGGAACACCGGUGGCGAAGGCGGCGCUCUGGAACAUUUCUGACGCUGAGGCUCGAAAGCGUGGGGAGCAAACAGG